rnacentral:rRNA from 1 species
UACGAGGGGGCUAGCGUUGCUCGGAAUCACUGGGCGUAAAGCGCACGUAGGCGGAUUGCUAAGUCAGGGGUGAAAUCCUGGAGCUCAACUCCAGAACUGCCUUUGAUACUGGCGACCUUGAGUCCGGGAGAGGUGAGUGGAACUGCGAGUGUAGAGGUGAAAUUCGUAGAUAUUCGCAAGAACACCAGUGGCGAAGGCGGCUCACUGGCCCGGUACUGACGCUGAGGAGCGAAAGCGUGGGGAGCGAACAGG